rnacentral:rRNA from 1 species
UACGGAGGAUGCAAGCGUUAUCCGGAUUUAUUGGGCGUAAAGCGUCCGCAGGUGGCUAUACAAGUCUGCUGUUAAAGCGUGGGGCUUAACUCCAUACAGGCAGUGGAAACUGUAAAGCUAGAGUCUGGUAGGGGUCACGGGAAUUCCCAGUGUAGCGGUGAAAUGCGUAGAUAUGCGGAGGAACACCGAUGGCGAAGGCAAUCCCCUGGGCCUGCACUGACGCUCAUGCACGAAAGCGUGGGGAGCAAACAGG